rnacentral:ncRNA from 1 species
GCUAUAAUAUCUUUAGAUUGAGAUGCUGGUGCAGAGGUUUGCAAGCUGCCAGCAGCCCUCACACGGACAGGAAAACAAGGAUACUUGUAACCGUUCCCGUUGAGAAAUCUGGAUGCUGUAAAAAGCAAAGCGAGUAGGCGUGCAAUCGUUUCGAGAAGUUAAAAGCUAGUAAAGCGUGGUCGGAACAAUAGACGCUCCUGUGGAGAAUAACCUAUCAGACAGCUCUUUGGCAAGGGCGUGAAAAACUUGAUAGGAAAGCCAAACAAUCCGAUUUGUAGUGAAAGAGUGAAAACUCUCUAUAACACGCUAUACUGAACAAGUAGCCCAAUCUACAUGUAAAACAAGAAAUUUUCUUAUGUUCCUUUUUGAACUAAAAAGUUUUCCGAAAGCGGGUGAAAGUUGGAGGUUUCAAGCCUCUUGUCUCUAUGGGUGAUAGCGUUUGAGCUAUUAUCGGGAUUGACUGCAUUAAGGUCGCUACUUACUGCACGGGUCAAUGUCGGGCGUGGCCGAAGAUAACGAGUCGAAAUGAUGUAGGGUGAACAAAAGCCCCUCGAUCUUUUAAAAGUACG